CCGACGGUGAGGGACGAAAGCUGGGGGAGCAAACCGGAUUAGAUACCCGGGUAGUCCCAGCUGUAAACGAUGCGCGUUAGGUGUGUCAGUGACCACGUGUCACUGAUGUGCCGAAGGGAAACCGUGAAACGCGCCGCCUGGGGAGUACGGUCGCAAGGCUGAAACUUAAAGGAAUUGGCGGGGGGGCACCACAACGGGUGGAGCCUGCGGUUUAAUCGGACUCAACGCCGGAAAUCUCACCGGAUAA
rnacentral:rRNA from 1 species